UGUGAUAAUAUUUGUUUUGUGUUUUGGAAGGGGGUGAAUCACUGUUAGAGAUCAGGUUGUGGCUUUGCGAUGCAGGUGUGGAAGAAAGAGGCUUAUUCCUAUGUCCUCCAAAUGUUGCAGCAGUGGUGCCACUGGUGGAAGUGUGACAAUUCAGGCAAGCAGUGAGAACGUGUGGAAAGAGGGGUGUAUAUGUAGAGCAUUCCUGGGAGAGGUGACAAACUGGGGUUCCUGAGCCCAUAAAGAGAUUUGAAAACCGAACCUGGGUCAACCAUGCUGCUGUAAGCACCACAAACAGGAGACCACUGAAAACCAGAGAGAAGUAUCGGUCCAGUAGGUGACUACUUUGCUAGAUUCAGGAUCUCAGUUUUGAAUCCAAGUAAAACGUGGGCACCUGGGCACCUAGGUCCUGCUUCAUUCUUUGAUGUAACUGUGAACCUCUACCAGGGAUGUAGUGAAUGGUCGUUAAAUACUACUGUGGCUGACGAUUGCCUUCUACAUAAUUUUAAUGGCUGUUAUAAAUACAUCCUCAGCCUGUAGUGUCCCACACCUGUUUUAAUCACGACUUUAAAAUUUAGUCAAGCAAAGCUUUCUGGAUUUAUUUUUUUCAAAGCCAGUACUGUUUCUGCUUUCUCCAUCGUCUUUUCUACUCCAUCUAUCUUCUCUAACAGCUGAAUCUCUUCUUUCUUCCUGACCAUACCUUAAAUCCUAGGAUAAUUAUCCUUAUUUUCCUAUUCUCAUCCUUGGUCUGUUUACCUAGAGUGCAGUGAUCCUUUUCUAGACCCUUACAGCCUUUGCAGGAGCUGUCUCCCAGCCUACAGUAAGCCUAGCUCCUCGAGCCUCUGCUUUUCUGCACAGGAGCUGUAAUUCCCCAUUCUUGAUUCUGUUACCUGCCUUAAUCCUGCGCAGAGUUCACAGGGAUGAAUACCAACAGGGGCGGUUGAUCUGAGCUCACUUAGGGUUAAGGAGAACUGGGGACGGCUUUCUCGCUGUCCCUUGGAAGAGCCAGGGUUCAUGGAAGGGCAGAAAUCCUUUCAGGAGUGAUUAGGGUAUGGCCACUCUUGUCCGGGCAGAAGUGAUGGGCCUGACCAUAAUUGUGGAUAUUAGGGUUCUGGGCAACAGGUGUUAAUAAGCUAAUCAGCAUCAACAACAAGAGUGGUGCUGGCUGGUGUGUAAUGAGUUUAAGAUACUUUUGUGGCAGAGAGCACACUCAGGGUUUGGUCAGGAUUAGCUUUUGGAGGCUCUUGCAAACAGAAGAAAUGACAACAGAUCUUCAACUGCUUGUGUCCUAGAAAGUAGCUAUCAUCCAUUCCAUACGACCUCUUCCUUUCAAGAACAACCAUCAACUUAGUUUGUAGUUCCCACAGAAUUCUGAAAUUCGACUCUCAGCCCUAGCACUAGCCUUGACUCAGGACAGUCAUCCAAGCACAACCAUCCAAGCCCAAGCUGUUGCUCAUUAGAUUUCCCUGUGGACUAGCCUCAUCCUAUCUCAGUGGCUCCUGCAGGAUUCGUAUACAAUAUCAGCAGUCCUUGCUCUUCUUUUUUCUAACCUUAAGCUGAAACUACCAACGGGACCACAGCCUUUGGAACCCACUGGUUCUAGGAUGACAGUUCUGUAACCUCAUUUCUCAGACACCUUAAUCCCAAUCUUCAAUCUAGCCACAGUUUAAUUUAAAAGAGGGAUCGUGUCCGAUUUUACCAGCACCAUCCCCCUUCUCGUUUGAUAUUUCAUACAGGAUUAAGAUGGUCAUAAUUCUCCAUCCAGUUCUCCCUCAAGCCCUAGUUUGCCCCUAAAAUGAACACUGACUGUAGCCUUUACACAAGAAUUAUUACUGCUGUGAUCCAAAGCAGGUUUUUUUUGUUUGUUUGUUUUUCCCGAUUCUAUCAGACUAACACAUUCUCUUUUCUAAAACCAGGAGAGGUGUUAACCCUGGCCAUUAACAGGUCAAAAUGUAUCCUAUUAAGCUGUGCUACAGCCAUUCUACUACUGCAUUAGCAUCCUCAAUUUAGGAUGGCAAUUCCAGUAAAAUUCAGAAAUAAAUACUGCUCUCAUAAACCGUACCCUAAUCCCAAAUAUUAGGCUAGCCUUAACGCAAGGGAGGUGACCACGAAGACCCCAGAGGGAUAGUUCCUUCAGACUUUACCCACCUCAGGUAUGUUCUGGCCUGAUUAGGGCUUGUGGUUUUGCGCCGUGGGUCAGGGUUCAGCACUGUGAAGCCCGAAGGGCAAGGUUCAUCUGCAGAGCCCGGAGGUACCACAGGAAACUGAUGAAGUCAUGAAUCCUGAGAGGGGGACGUGUGACUCAGCUUGCUGCCAGACCGUUGGGUUUUGAGAUGUAAAGGUGUAGAUUGUACAGCUUUUAUUGCCCUGAGGUAGAAUCAGCCAUGCUAGGAUUUGGCCAGAGCACUGGAGUGGAGGAAGCUUUGUGCUAAGAAACACCGCGGAGGCUUUCUUCAUUCUCCCACCUAAGGUGGCAUUAGAAGCGUGCAUGGAGCAAAUCAGGAAGCAGUGCAGCUUCACGAGAGACAGCUUCUGAGCGCUGCUGCGGCUUGCUGGCCGAGCACCACAGGCUGUUUACAAAACAGAGGCUUAUGCAAGAUGCUACGGUUUGGAUGUUGAGUUCAAACGCUGCAAAAUCGGAGGCAUCUCAGUUCCUGCCAACUCCUCCUGUCUACUGAUCACGAGGGGGUUAUUUCAGAUUGCCCCUCUUGGUCCAGUACCUGGCCUGUGAUUUAAGAGAAGAGUGGUCCUGUAUUGCAGCUGAACUUCGUGGCUUGGAAGGUAGAAAGGAAGAUGUGGUACCUGUAGCUGGAGGUAAAGAAAUAAAAAAAACAGCUUCGGAGCAGAGUACUUGUUCUGUUGUUUCCUUGUAAGCACAGACAUUCCUGUGGCUUGUUGUUGCCUCGCUAUCUGAAGUUCUCACCUCUCUGCCAGUUGCCCUGCACAGU